AAGAUUUGUAAAAGUUCUAGAAACCAUGGU
rnacentral:piRNA from 1 species